rnacentral:rRNA from 1 species
UACGUAGGUGGCGAGCGUUGUCCGGAUUUACUGGGCGUAAAGGGCGUGCAGGCGGUUUGUUAAGUGCAGGGUGAAAGCUCCCGGCUCAACCGGGAGAGGUCCUUGCAUACUGGCGAACUCGAGGGAGGCAGAGGAAAGUGGAAUUCCCGGUGUAGUGGUGAUAUGCGUAGAUAUCGGGAGGAACACCUGUGGCGAAGGCGGCUUUCUGGGCCUUACCUGACGCUGAGACGCGAAAGCGUGGGGAGCGAACAGG